UAAGGAAUAUUGGUCAAUGGACGCGAGUCUGAACCAGCCAUGCCGCGUGGAGGAUGAAGGUCCUCUGGAUUGUAAACUUCUCUUAUCUGGGACGAAACACUUCUUUUCUAGGAGGCCUGACGGUACCAGAUGAAUAAGCACCGGCUAACCCCGUGCCAGCAGCCGCGGUAAUACGGAGGGUGCAAGCGUUAUCCGGAUUUACUGGGUUUAAAGGGUGCGUAGGUGGGUAUGUAAGUCAGUGGUGAAAUCCCCGAGCUUAACUUGGGAACUGCCGUUGAUACUAUAUAUCUUGAAUAUCGUAGAGGUAAGCGGAAUAUGUCAUGUAGCGGUGAAAUGCUUAGAGAUGACAUAGAACACCAAUUGCGAAGGCAGCUUACUAUGCGAUUAUUGACACUGAGGCACGAAAGCGUGGGGAUCAAACA
rnacentral:rRNA from 1 species